AAAUAGAUACCCGGGUAGUCCACGCCGUAAACGACUGAGUGCUAGGUGUUACGGGGGGUCCAACCCCUUAGUGCGUGAAGUUAACACAUUAAGCACUCCGCCUGGGGAGUACGACCGCAAGGUUGAAACUCAAAGGAAUUGACGGGGGCCCGCACAAGCAGUGGAGCAUGUGGUUUAAUUCGAAGCAACGCGAAGAACCUUACCAGGUCUUGACAUCCUCUGACAACCCUAGAGAUAGGGCGUUCCCCUUCGGGGGACAGAGUGACAGGUGGUGCAUGGUUGUCGUCAGCUCGUGUCGUGAGAUGUUGGGUUAAGUCCCGCAACGAGCGCAACCCUUGAUCUUAGUUGCCAGCAUUCAGUUGGGCACUCUAAGGUGACUGCCGGUGACAAACCGGAGGAAGGUGGGGAUGACGUCAAAUCAUCAUGCCUCUUAUGUUCUGGGCUGCACACGUGCUACAAGUGGCCGGUACAAAGGGCUGCGAAGCCGCGAGGUUGAGCCAAUCCCAUAAACGCCGGUCUAAGUUCGGAUUGGAGGCUGCUAACNCGU
rnacentral:rRNA from 1 species